AUGAUUUCACAACCAUAUUUGCUGAUAUAGAUGGCCCAGGUUUGUUUGAGUUUGAUAGGAUGACUUUGGAAAGGUUGAAGAUUGAAGAUUUGUAUAUUGAAGAAGAAAUGAUUUCUUUCUAAUGUAUUACAUAGAUUUUUUGUUAUUAUUUAUUUAAGUAAGGAUGUAAAUUAUUCACAAAUUUUGAUUUAUCAUUUCUAUUUAUAUUGUAAUUACUUUUAUUACAUAUAAUAAUAAUUAUAAUUUUUCCUUCUA